CCCGGAAUGAAUAUUCAUAAAAGGCUGAAGGGGCGAUCAACAGAGUUGGUCGAAGGGCAAAAAUACGGGGUAAGGGCUUUACCCCAAAUACAGGUUCCACUUCCGAGACUGCUUUUCCGCGGUGGAGUGGCUAAACCGGAGCGGAUAGGUAAAGAAAAGAGUUGGGGUAUUGCCCGAAAGGAAAGUAGAAGUAAGCGGUUACCUUCUUUGUCCUACUUUCUUUUGUAUUGGUUGGUCGAUUUCUCCUUAUUGAUGACUCUUUGGACAAUCCAUCUCGGAAAUCUCGUAUGAGAAGUCACAUGGCGUAGAGGAAAGACUUUGCUUUGAAUAGUCCCCAAAAUGUUCAUCUUUCAGAAACUUGACUUUUUUUUGGUUGGUCUUUCUUCAUUGCGAUCAAUCUCGUAAGAGAAGACAUAGAGUCAUCAAUAAGGGGAAAUCCACUUUCUUGGACCGAAGGUGGGACGUCGAUCGGAGACUUUGCUCUUUCACCUUCACCGGGGAAUCUAACCGCAUCUUGGGAAUACCGAUCAACAGGUCGACAUGGGAAUGGAUAGGAUUGGCAAAUAUUCUAUAGAAUAAUCGCACUUCCUCGCGGGUAGGUUUAUUAGAUUAGGGGCAAAACAGGCCUUCUCAGAGGUCUUCUCAAAAGCUGAGCAUGACGUUCUUCUUGUCCUGACCAAAAACCGGUACAUAGGAAGCCAUAGGAGCUGCAUGCUACUGGUAGGGCAAAGGCUGUGUGCAGCGCGCAGCUAAGUCACGCAACGGCUAACGGCUAGAGCAUUCUUUCCUGACCAUUUCUAUGGACCAUUUCUGAGGGUCUUCUCAUACGAGAUUUCUUCUUCUCCUGAGGCUUCGGAAGCAAAGGAAACCACCAGUACCGCCAGUCCAGUACCACGUCUUAUACUUAGCAAGGAUCGGAGGCAGCCCCGAAGCAAGAAAGCAUUGGGCGAUCGUCCUCACACCCGGGACUCGUGGAUUGGCAGUUGCACGGGUAGAGCAGGUCAACAGCCGACAUUGGAUUUCCCGAUAUUUUACUAUUCUAUAGAAGAAUAGCACGAGAACCUAGCCUAGCCUCUAGGGUGAGAGACUCCAACAUGCCGAAUCACUGAUCAAGAAAAAAAUAGAAUUAACAUUUCUUUAAAUAAGAUAAAAGAUGGUGGAGAAAUCUCGUAUGAUAAGCAAG
rnacentral:lncRNA from 1 species